UUCAUCCAAAGCCAUGUUUAGGCUUGGAUUUUCAGUCGAGUCAUGUACUAGUACUGCCAAACAAAAAAGGGUCUACCUAGGUGUGAUAGAAAACCUAACCCAACUCCAAACCACCACACUUAAUUGCUUAAGCCUUAGCCUUUUUUCAAUGCCCACGGUCAUCACUCAUUUUUAGGAACGAAGGAGGAUGAAUGAUAGUCUUGGAAAGAGAAUUGUUGAAUGUAUGGAAGAAAGGGGGAAGGAACUUAGAAGAGAAAAAAAAGGAUCCAAUAUAAAUCUGCAGAAAUACGCAGAAAUCUGCAAAAAAACAGCAAAGAGAAAAAAAAAGAAAAAAAAUACUAUUCACAUGAACAGUAACCCGACCUGUUACUGUUCACGAAAUAGUAACCUGACCGUUACCGUUCAUGGACUAGUAACCCGACCCGGUUACUCUUCCCCGCAAUAACUCCAAUAGGCAGAAGUAAUUCGGGAUUGGAAAAACACCUAUUUAUAAACUCGCUAAAGGAGCCUUUUUUGAUUAUAUUCCGCGCCGAAGAUUUGUGCUUGUGGGCUGGGGUGAAUAUAGCGGACCAGCGGAUCUGGUGGUCGACAAUCGUUCGGACUUGGUACCCCGACGUAUAAAUAUUCACAGCCCGGCUC
rnacentral:lncRNA from 1 species